rnacentral:rRNA from 1 species
CGUUUGACGUUAGCUGCAGAAGAAGCACCGGCUAACUCCGUGCCAGCAGCCGCGGUAAUACGGAGGGUGCGAGCGUUAAUCGGAAUUACUGGGCGUAAAGCGCAUGCAGGUGGUUUGUUAAGUUCAGAUGUGAAAGACCCGGGGCGUCAACCUCGGAAUAGCAUUUGAAACUAGGCAGACUAGAGUACUGUAGAGGGGGGUAGGAAUUUCAGGUGUAGCGGUGAAAUGCGUAGAGAUCUGAAGGAAUACCGGUGGCGAAGGCGGCCCCCUCGGACAGAUACUGACACUCAGAUGCGAAAGCGUGGGGAGCAAACAGGAUUAGAUACCCUGGUAG